rnacentral:rRNA from 1 species
UUUAUCAGUUAUAGUUUAUUUGGUGGUACCCUUACUUGGAUAACCGUAGUAAUUCUAGAGCUAAUACGUGCGUAAACCCCGACUUCUGGAAGGGGCGUAUUUAUUAGAUAAAAGGCCGACCGGGCUUGCCCGACUCGCGGUGAAUCAUGAUAACUUCACGAAUCGCAUGGCCUUGUGCCGGCGAUGUUUCAUUCAAAUUUCUGCCCUAUCAACUUUCGAUGGUUGGAUAGAGGCCAACCAUGGUGGUAACGGGUGACGGAGAAUUAGGGUUCAAUUCCGGAGAGGGAGCCUGA